rnacentral:lncRNA from 1 species
CUCUCAAUAGUUAAAAGUAUGCGAAGAGCACUGAAUAGCCCAAAGACCAUAUAGAAGAUUGAUGAGUAUGUUUCAGACAAUGCUCUUGUCCACUGAUGGUCUGUGGAGGAAUGAUAAGAGAAAAAACUGCCCGCGUUGGGGUGAGCAGGCCAGGAGGCAUGCAGAGAUCCCCUCCAUCCCAAAGUCCCCUUUCGCAGAGGAAAGUCAUAUGAAAGAAAACUAUUUACUAAUGAAACACAUCUGCUUCCUUUCUAAAAACCCAGGUGGACAAACUAAUGAGUCUGUUUUUACUUCGCGUCUAUCUCAUACCCACCUGCCUUUUCACUCUCGAACUGCCGUUCCGUAGGUCUUCCCCACCCCCUCCAACUCGAAGCAGAGGAAAAGGCGUUGGAGCAACAUUUCGCAGAAGGUCCUGAUCUUCUCCCUCCCUUGCUAACCCCCGGAGGCUGUAGCUGCGACGGUUACCGGCGAGGAGCGUCUAGGAAUCCUGGCUCCAGGGCCUGCGUGCCGCUCCUCCCCACUCGCACCCGCGCACUUGCCCUGCGCUCCUUUGUCGCCCGCGCCUGCCAAGCGCAAUCCUGCCAGAAGACUUGCUUUUAGGUUUCAUUUCCUGAUUUACCCCCUUAGUUAUCUUUUCAGCCCAGAUACCUUGUGUUUGCACAUCACGCCGGAAGCACGCAUACAGAUCAAUAUUUUUGGGCUAAGAGGUCAUCUGCCACAGUGAACGCGGAAAAAAAUUGAGCCUAGUAAAAGGCUUUAAACUUAUUUAUAUAAAGCACAACUCAGAGUUAAAAGACUGGGGUGCGUGCAGAUGAAGUUAAUUCGAAUAUUCAAUUACAUGUAAGGAGUGUGGGAUCUAGUGGGGGAGAGCAGUUAUAUGCCUAUUUCCCUCCUGCCCUAGGGAAGGAGCGGAAGGCUGAGAGGAAAGGAGCGGCCAGGGUAAAAGCUAGAUGCAGGAUGGCGUCAGGAACAAGUUACCGUUAUGAUGUGCAAACAGAACAACCCGACUCUUCCAUUUCAGAAUCUACAACAAAGGUAGUGGUGGUGGUGGAGGGGAGGAUCACUUUUAUUUUAAAGACAAUCCUAGAUAAGUUUUUAUUUACCCAUUUUAGUAUCUUCCUUCUGGGCCUGUCCUAAGGCACGCAGGAGAGAAAGUAAUUGUUCAAGAAGACCGAGCAGUCGGCAAGUUUGGCUCCUAAGCGUGUGAACUAUGAAUCACCGCGGUGACGAACUUCUCUUUCUUUCCUUUUUUCCCCCCCUCACCCUUUUCUUUUCUUUUGGAGCGUGAACUAGUUAGAUAAGAUAGAAGAGGCCACAAGGAAAUGGAAACGCUGAGAAAGCCCGGCUCUUAGGAUAGCAGCCUGUGAGGCUGGCAGGCGACAGCUGCGCGCUGCCUCGGAGCUGAGAGGCUCGGGGCUCGCUCCGGAGCUGUCCCACUCAAGUCUCGGCGGUCGCCCGCGGGCAGCACUCGAGCUAGGAUCGCUGCCUAAUAGGCAGCCUACCCUUCGGCCUUAGAGGAAACACCCCAGAAGACGAAAGAACGGCCCCUAACUGGGCUAAGUAUCUGCUCCUGGCUCCAAAAACGGAGCCCGCAGGUUUUUCGAAAGAAGUUCCAAGACCGGACCACAAAGCAAUCGAAGGGUGGGAGACACUAGAUUUUAAAGAAGUCUGGAAUCACGCGUGAAACAUUAUUUCCCCCAUUGAUUAAAAGUGAUUCCCUUUCGCUAUUUAUAGAUAUGCAAUAUUAUUGAUUACACACCGCGAUUUGCUUGAAAAAAUACUUAAGAGCAUUUUUAGCAUCUUUAGCACACUCCCCAGUCUUUGUUCCAUCAAACAUUUCUGCUGAUAGUGUGGCUGGUAGGGAUCAAUUAACAGUGGAUUUUGCCCCAGGAUUGCUCCCCAGGGCAGACAAAUAGAACCAACUCAUCUCCAGCGACUUUAUUUCGCCCACGUGCGUAUCCACGCCAGGGCUUUAGAAGCAGUUCAAAAUCCCCAGCCUUGGUUUCACUUGAUUUUGUUGUUGUUGCUGUUGUUAUUGAUAAAUAUUGAGUCAUACACAGCCACUUGUCAGAGCCUUUGGCUCCAUCUCGCAGCUGCAGCUCCUAGUGGGGCGUUUGAGUUCUAGGCACUGGAGGGAUUUGGUGGGGAAAGAAUUGCAUAUUCUCAGUUCUUUCAGUAGCGGAGAUGGUCCUUUAAAAUCCUACGUUUUGUCUCGUCUGUCUGCUGUCACUUUUUUUUAUUUGUUCAGAUAGGUGUGUCUUUUUUUCCCCUCGCAUCCUUUAAUUGAAAUUACCCUUAAAAUAAAAAGGGAUAAACUAUGAUCCCAGUUCUCUUCUGUGUAUCUGAAACUAAAAAGAACUUAGGCUAGUAGAUAGAUAAUUGUUGUAAUUGCUGGGAGAUGGUUGGGUAGGUAGGACUUUUGGGGGUUGUGUAAUUGCAGUAAUAUAUACAGUUUAUCUUUCCACUGUGCUGUAUAUACUCUUCCCCUUGAUACUUAUUGCACACAAACUGAGCUUAUGGUCGGCUUGUCUUGGCAUGUUUGAAGCCCCAGACACCCAACAGUAUCAUUACAGGAAAGAGACAAAACCCCAAAGACUCAAGGCUGGGAGGCGUCUGCCUUUGGGGUGAAGAGAGAGUUUGUCUUGGCUUUGGAUUUUUGGGGUAAGCACACCCACUGGCUCAGACUACCUGGCAGCACAGAGUUCAGGUCUUCCCGGAACUGAAGUGCAGGGAGGGGGCUGGGAAAGAAACAGCUGAUUUUCGACAUUUCAAAGGGACUCUUUCUAUUUAUCAGUGUUACCGAAGUGUACGUUACUGGAGAAACAACAAAACAAGCAUAGAGCUGCAAUUUUCAAGAAAAUAGGAUCCCCAAAUAUAAAAAUAAAAAAGUAGCAGAUAAGAUGUAUAAUUCAAUCAAAUUACACAAAAUUGCUUGAAAAUCCAGAACAGUAGCGAUCCAUUAUGCCUCUGUUUUAUUAGUGACAAGUACAAUUACUCUAAAAUAAAGAACACUGGUGAAUAUAUAAUUGGCUGUAAUCAUGUUAGUGUUUGAAUAAAAAUGACGGGAACAUUUAACACUUUGACAACAAAAUGUUCAGAAAUAACUUAUUUAUUCAAACAGUUUUUAUUUUCCACCAAGUGAAGGAGAAACACAGUUUGCUUAGAAAAAUCAAUGACUUUUCCCUGCAAUAAAUAAAUACCCAAAAGGGGAAAAAAACAGCCCCACACCUCUAUAUUAUUACUAUUAUUAUUUUUAACCAGCAAGAAGCUUAAUCCUGUGUUUGGAGUCAGCACCGCCUAACGGUUGUUGGGUACCAACGUCCGCCACCUAGAGGCAGAGCUCUGCAGCUCACCCAACGCCAACCCCUUUUCCGGAGAUGACCUCGGGAAUCAAAGUUAAUAUUCCUUUGCAAAUUGCUCUCCAAACUAACUUCCCCCUCCCCCGCCUCUCACAUCCCCUUGCGCCCUACAACGUCGUCACAAUAUUUUCUUAGUAAUUGCUCUGUGCAAUUGACAGAAGCGCCCAGUCUCCGGCAGCGCGGUCGUCUCCCAGCAAAGCGCUAGAGCGCGUUGGGGAAGCAGAUCACAGGGAAUAUUUGUAUCUGGAGAGAAGAUAAUCGACUUUCGACCAAAAUUCGUCCGGAGCAGCCUGAAUUCGGGUGUCAUAAAGCGACAGCUAAUGCUAGAACCCCACAUUCCAAUGCUUUUCUAGGGCGUUCCUGGAGAAAGCACUGCCCGGAUCCCACUGUCGCCAGUUGCUUUACCGCGAGGGCUUUCCCUGAAUUCUUCCCAGUCCACACACCCCUCCCGGCCGCAAACAAGGAGAUUGGAGGCCAGGGCUCUUUCUCACCAGUCCUUCGAUCCCAACGGGUCUUUUGAUUUUCCUAAAUCACAAGUGCCUGAGGUACUGAGGUAGAAGCAUUAAGGGGAAGGUCAUGUUUGGAGGGAUCACCCUUUGGCCCCCCUGAGGCCAACCCAGGAGAAAUCUCAGGUCUUUACAUUGAAUUCUGCUGUUUCAGAAACCUCCACGUGUGUGGGGUAAUUUGAAGGUGGACCCAUUGAGACUAGGGGCCUUUUCCCAUUUUAGUUUGGGAGGGGCCCAUUGGCUCCUCGCACAGAAAAAGCCAGCAUUGCACCUAGAUCGCCUGGCUGCUUUCAAGCAAAUCUUGGGGGAAAGGAGAUGCUAAGCGAGGUGAAGGGGCUAGGAAAAGAGAAGUAAGGACUGUGCUUUGUGCACUCAGAGGCUUUGUGAUCCGUAGCAGGGACCAUCCACAUCCUCGAGCUGGCCCUUCAGGCAUUUCUCCCUGCCCCACCCAUCCAAAAUUUCGUUUUAUUUUACUGUAAGUACCUAAAACACUGUUCUAACGGAAAGUUUGCUACAAAACCUAGGUAGGAACAAGCAAGCUGAACUCAGUUUUUGGAGGAAUACCCCCCCAAAAAAAAACCUGAUAAAAAUUGGACUUCAAUUGAGUUAAUUCCUUAAGUUUCCCCUUAACUAUCCCCCCCUUCUUUUCUCCAUUUCUCACCUCCAGGGACCCCCAUCCCUAUCUCUAUUUCUGUCUUGAUACCUAUCCAAAUCCCCCCCUCUCUCUAAGGGUAAGAGAAAAGAAGCAGCGUGAGGCGGGUGGAGGUUGACCAUUUUUAUGCCGAGUUUGGGAAAUUGCUUAAUUGUCAGUCCUCAGCCCCAGGAUGGAGUUUAAAGGACACAUCCCAGAGAUGAUUCCCAGGGGCAACCUCAGAACUGUGGGCUAAGAACCUCUUUUCAUACUGUAGAAGUUAAGAUAGUGAAAUAUAUAUAUAUAUACAUACUACACUAUAUUAUAGAUCUAUCUCCUCUAAAAUGGACAUCCCAGUACAUGCCUCGCCUCAGGAGUGAGGCACCCUAAGAAGUUAAGUCCACAGAAUUGUUUCAUUUUAUGUAAAACUAGUGCUUUCACUCUCAACUCCCAGGUCUCUAUCAUUCAUCUCCUGCAUUAUAUUAACAGGCGAUGUUAGCCUUUCCCUACGUGUUUAGGCUGCUAAUGCAGU